rnacentral:rRNA from 1 species
AGUGAACGCUGGCGGUAGGCCUAACACAUGCAAGUCGAACGGCAGCACAGUAAGAGCUUGCUCUUACGGGUGGCGAGUGGCGGACGGGUGAGGAAUACAUCGGAAUCUACUUUUUCGUGGGGGAUAACGUAGGGAAACUUACGCUAAUACCGCAUACGACCUACGGGUGAAAGCAGGGGAUCUUCGGACCUUGCGCGAUUGAAUGAGCCGAUGUCGGAUUAGCUAGUUGGCGGGGUAAAGGCCCACCAAGGCGACGAUCCGUAGCUGGUGUGAGAGGAUGAUCAGCCACACUGGAACUGAGACACGGUCCAGACUCCUACGGGAGGCAGCAGUGUGGAAUAUUGGACAAUGGGCGCAAGCCUGAUCCAGCCAUACCGCGUGGGUGAAGAAGGCCUUCGGGUUGUAAAGCCCUUUUGUUGGGAAAGAAAAGCAGCAGGUUAAUACCCCGCUGUUCUGACGGUACCCAAAGAAUAAGCACCGGCUAACUUCGUG